rnacentral:rRNA from 1 species
UGCAAGUCAAUGGGCAUUUGUCUAAACCCAUGGGCGCAAUGAAAGUGAAUCUGCUGGGCACUCCUUAGCGGGGGUGCCCUUUGAGGGCUGAUCCCUGAUCCAAGUCGUGGGUGCUAAAGGUCACGCAGAAGUGUACUGAGGUGAUUUCUCCCUUUCCCUCCGGUAUAACCUGUUGGCACGAACCACUUGUCUUCCCCACUGGCCCUCCUCCGGGCGGGUUGUGGGGGGACGAACACGGCGCUUUGGAUCGACACCCAUGCAAAUGGGGGGGCGCAAGCCCGGGACGUGUCAACGACGCGGGCCGCCCGCAGCCGGCUCCGGCCGGCGGCUUCUCGCGGUCCGCAGUCGACAUGUACCUUGAGCAGACAUGUUAGUACCCGAAAGAUGGUGAACUAUGCCUGGCCAGGAUGAAGCCAGAGGAAACUCUGGUGGAGGUCCGAAGCAAUUCUGACGUGCAAAUCGAUUGUCAGAGCCGGGCAUAGGGGCGAAAGACUAAUCGAACCAUCUAGUAGCUGGUUCCCCCCGAAGUUUCCCUCAGGAUAGCUGGGACUCGCCUACGGAUUUACACCCGGUAAAGCGAAUGAUUAGAGGUUUUGGGGACGGAACGUCCUCAACCUAUUCUCAAACUUUAAAUGGGUGAGAAGCCGAGCUUGCUUUGGUGAAGCCUCGGUCUUUGUCUAAAUCCGAGUCUCCAGUGGGCCAAUUUU